rnacentral:rRNA from 1 species
AAUGCCCCAUGGUGAUGUCCUCAGGCAUCUGAGGUCAUCUAAAGAUCCGUCGGAUGGGGAUAGGCUCGCGUGACAUUAGCUAGACGGCGGGGUAACGGCCCACCGUGGCGACGAUGUCUAGGGGUUCUGAGAGGAAGGUCCCCCACACUGGAACUGAGACACGGUCCAGACUCCUACGGGAGGCAGCAGUGAGGAAUAUUGGUCAAUGGCCGGAAGGCUGAACCAGCCAUGCCGCGUGAAGGUCAGUGCCCUAUGGGCGUUAAACUUCUUUUGUGCGGGAGCAAUAAUGGUCACGUGUGGCCAGACGAGAGUACCGUACGAAUAAGCAUCGGCUAACUCCGUGCCAGCAGCCGCGGUAAUACGGGGGAUGCAAGCGUUAUCCGGAUUUAUUGGGUUUAAAGGGUGCGUAGGCUGUGAGGUAAGUCAGCGGUGAAAUGCCCCCGCUCAACGGGGUGAAGUGCCAUUGAUACUGCCUUGCUGGAAUGCGGAUGCCGUGGGAGGAAUGUGUGGUGUAGCGGUGAAAUGCAUAGAUAUCACACAGAACACCGAUUGCGAAGGCAUCUCACGAAUCCGCGAUUGACGCUGAUGCACGAAAGCGUGGGUAUCAAACAGGAUUAGAUACCCUGGUAGUCCACGCUGUAAACGAUGAUGACUAACCGUCGGCGAUACACAGUCGGUGGCCAAGC